GCUGGGCAUGGUGACGCAUGCCUAUAAUCCCAGCUACUCAGGAGGCUGAGGUGGGAGAAUCGCUUGAACCUGGGAGGCAGAGGUUGUAGUGAGCUGAGAUUGCGCCACUGCACUCUAGCCUGGGCAACAGAGUGAGAUUCCAUCUCAA
rnacentral:sRNA from 1 species